GAACUUUCGUGGCCUUCCUCUUUUGGCUGGUUCUUUUCUUGGUCGACCACGCUUCAGCUUUUUGGUGGAGACGACCACUUCCAAUUCUGCAGAUAUAAUUACAUGAGGUUUCUUUGGUCUUCCCCUUUUCCGAGGUAUUGCAGAACCACUAUCAUUUUCAACACUUUCUGCCUUGCGUUUCAUGGAGGAUCCUUUUGGACGACCCCUUGGGUUUUUAGGCAAACUGGAAUCAUUUGGUACAUUUUCUCCCAAAUCAUUCCGACUGGCAGCAGCCUUCUCAAGUGUACUUUU